GAAAGCCGUGUGCAAUGAAAACUGCAAACACGGCUUGGGGAGGGAUUUUUUCUUGUUUUAUUCUAUUGUUGAAUUUUAUUAAAGAAUAAAAUAUCUACUUCAU
rnacentral:ncRNA from 1 species